rnacentral:rRNA from 1 species
GACGAACGCUGGCGGCGUGCCUAAUACAUGCAAGUAGGACGCAGUUGCGAACGUGUGAGUAACGCGUAGGUAACUACCUAUUAGAGGGGGAUAACAAUUGGAAACGAUAGCUAAUACCGCAUACUCGUAGGUGGACCUGCGUUGUAUUAGCUAGUAGGUAGGGUAAAGGCCUACCUAGGCAACGAUACAUAGACGACCUGGGCGGGGGACUGGCCAAAAUGGGACCGAGGACCGGCCCAGACUCCGACGGGAGGCAGCAGGAGGGGAUCUUCGGCAAUGGGGGGAACCCUUACCGCGCAACGCCGGGUGAGUGAAGAAGGUUUUCGGAUCGUAAAGCUCUGUUGUUAAGGAAGCGGUACUUAACCAGAAAGGGACGGCUAACUACGUGCCAGCAGCCGCGGUAAUAC